AAUGCAAAUAAAACAGUCAAAGUUCUUCAAUCAGAUGAACCCAUAAAAUAUCCAGCAAGUUUGGGUGUCACAUGCUUAAGAUUACAGUGACACAAAGAUUGAAUAAUGAUGGAUCUCUGAGAUGUUGCUUGACAGACAGCCUCCAUGAAGAGUCAAGCAAACUGUUUCGAACUAUGACAUAAGCAAAAAAAACCAAAAAAAUAUGUUGAGAUGCAAUACUUGUUCUCAAUAAGACCUCAACAUAAAAGCCAAAACAUGGCCACCUGCAGAGGCAAGAUGUACCUCUGACUUCAUAUCUGGUUUAGAUGCCACACAUGUAUCAAGAGGAUAUGAGAAGGUUUAUCACUCACAUAAUGAGACUUUUUAGGAACCCAGGACAACUAACAAGCAGAUUCUAAAUGCAAAUGAAGGAGUCACUCAUCAAAGGCUUCUAUGGCUAAACUUCAUGACUAUAUACUAAACAGGAAUCUAACCAAGAAACUCACAGCUGCUCUUGAGAAGAUGCCCUGCUAAACCACUAAGACAAAAAUCACUUUUUAUGACCUCACCCAGUAUUUGAUAGAAAGAGAUUAGCAGCUUGCCUGUAAUCUACUCUCUUCAUUUACUGGGAGAUUCUCUGCAAAGAGAAGUGACCCAAUCAAAUUUCCUUGCCAAAUACAUUGUUGGUAUGUUGUGGUGGACGUAUCUGCAUAUAGAAUGCUUUAGCAAGAUAACCCUGGUCUCUUGAGAAUUGCUUAUGGUGAAGAAACCCGAAAUCCAUCGAUUCAUGGAGUAUGACUUUAUAAGAAAUAUCAUGUAACCUGUAACUGUUACAGUAUACAACGAAGUUUUGUGAAUAAACAGCUUACUUAUGUGCAAGUAAUGGCUGCAUACAUUUCUUACAGUCAUUGAUUGUUAAAUCUUGACCAGAAUCUGUCCUAAUGUGAGAAGAAAGGACCUAGAAAGCUUCUGGGUAAAUGAUUACAUAUAUAUACAUAAUCUUAUUCAAUUUCAUGUGCACUUGAGUUUAUUGGUAAAGUUUAAUAUAAAAUAAAUUUUCUAAUUUGUGUGAGUCUCAUUUGACAAUCCAACCAUGUGUCUUUGUUCAGGGUGUUCCCAAACAAAUUGUCUUUCAGAACUUUGAAGUACAAUGUCUAAUAAAGAAGAGGGAAUUAAAAAUAUGAUGAGAAUUUGAUGUCCUUUGUGUUAUCUCAGUUAUAUCCCUGUGACUUUGUACAAUUUAUAUAGCUGCUCACACACUAAACUCUCUGUUUCAUUAUUGGCCUCUUGGAAUAAAUUUUAC
rnacentral:lncRNA from 1 species